UGAAAGUUCAAGAUAUAGCCUAUAUCCAGUAUUCCAGUUAGAAGUACUGAUCUUUCGAGGUAAGGGAUAUUUUUUUUUUUCGUAAUGAUAUUAUUUCUUCAAUAUCAUUAUGCUGAAAUAUUGAUCUGAAGUUUUUAUCAAAUUUGGAACUUUUGGUGUCGGGGUUACUAUUCACGUAUACGGCACUAUUCACGUAUACGGUACUAUUCACGAAUACGGCACUAUUCAUCGAAAAAUAAAAAUUUUUCUUUUCGUCCAAAAUAUCUAUUGUGGAUACUAGCUUUGAUUGUAUCCAUGUUUUGAUCAUUCUUGAAUUUUACACCACUAUGAUUAUUUUUGAGGUAUUUUUGGACGUGGAUAAAACGAAGUACGAAUCCU
rnacentral:lncRNA from 1 species